ACAUUUGGGGUAGCCCGGUGGGAAAUCCGGCUCUAUCCUGUGGUAUGAGCGUGGGCUUGGAUAGAUGCCAGUUUGCAAGCGCCAGAGCGUAACACCCUGGGCUCUGUUCAAUCGCGCGUUGGGGAACAUAACAUUAAUGGC
rnacentral:lncRNA from 1 species